AACGUAGGACGCAAGCGUUAUCCGGAGUUACUGGGCGUAAAGCGCGGGCAGGCGGCUCGAAACGUCUGAUGUGAAAUCUCCUCGCUCAACGGGGAGAGGCCAUUGGAAACGGUCGGGCUGGAGGGCAGUAGAGGCAGGCGGAAUUCCGGGUGGAGUGGUGAAAUGCGUAGAGAUCCGGAGGAACACCAGAGGCGAAGGCGGCCUGCUGGGCUGUACCUGACGCUGAACCGCGAAAGCCAGGGGAGCGAACGGG
rnacentral:rRNA from 1 species